GACGAACGCUGGCGGCGUGCUUAACACAUGCAAGUCGAACGGAAAGGCCCUGCUUUUGUGGGGUGCUCGAGUGGCGAACGGGUGAGUAACACGUGAGUAACCUGCCCUUGACUUUGGGAUAACUUCAGGAAACUGGGGCUAAUACCGGAUAGGAGCUCCUGCUGCAUGGUGGGGGUUGGAAAGUUUCGGCGGUUGGGGAUGGACUCGCGGCUUAUCAGCUUGUUGGUGGGGUAGUGGCUUACCAAGGCUUUGACGGGUAGCCGGCCUGAGAGGGUGACCGGCCACAUUGGGACUGAGAUACGGCCCAGACUCCUACGGGAGGCAGCAGUGGGGAAUAUUGCACAAUGGGCGGAAGCCUGAUGCAGCAACGCCGCGUGCGGGAUGACGGCCUUCGGGUUGUAAACCGCUUUCGCCUGUGACGAAGCGUGAGUGACGGUAAUGGGUAAAGAAGCACCGGCUAACUACGUGCCAGCAGCCGCGGUGAUACGUAGGGUGCGAGCGUUGUCCGGAUUUAUUGGGCGUAAAGGGCUCGUAGGUGGUUGAUCGCGUCGGAAGUGUAAUCUUGGGGCUUAACCCUGAGCGUGCUUUCGAUACGGGUUGACUUGAGGAAGGUAGGGGAGAAUGGAAUUCUUGGUGGAGCGGUGGAAUGCGCAGAUAUCAGGAGGAACACCAGUGGCGAACGCGGUUCUCUGGGCCUUUCCUGACGCUGAGGAGCGAAAGCGUGGGGAGCGAACAGGCUUAGAUACCCUGGUAGUCCACGCUGUAAACGGUGGGUACUAGGUGUGGGGUCCAUUCCACGGGUUCCGUGCCGUAGCUAACGCUUUAAGUACCCCGCCUGGGGAGUACGGCCGCAAGGCUAAAACUCAAAGGAAUUGACGGGGCCCCGCACAAGCGGCGGAGCAUGCGGAUUAAUUCGAUGCAACGCGUAGAACCUUACCUGGGUUUGACAUGGAUCGGGAGUGCUCAGAGAUGGGUGUGCCUCUUUUGGGGUCGGUUCACAGGUGGUGCAUGGCUGUCGUCAGCUCGUGUCGUGAGAUGUUGGGUUAAGUCCCGCAACGAGCGCAACCCUUGUUCACUGUUGCCAGCACGUUAUGGUGGGGACUCAGUGGAGACCGCCGGGGUCAACUCGGAGGAAGGUGGGGAUGACGUCAAGUCAUCAUGCCCCUUAUGUCCAGGGCUUCACGCAUGCUACAAUGGCUGGUACAGAGAGUGGCGAGCCUGUGAGGGUGAGCGAAUCUCGGAAAGCCGGUCUCAGUUCGGAUUGGGGUCUGCAACUCGACCUCAUGAAGUCGGAGUCGCUAGUAAUCGCAGAUCAGCAACGCUGCGGUGAAUACGUUCCCGGG
rnacentral:rRNA from 1 species